rnacentral:tmRNA from 1 species
GGGGGUGAAACGGUAUCGACUUACGAUGUUUAUGUCUUAAGAUGCAUGUCGAGGACGUUCGGUUGGCCUCGUUAAUCAUCCGAACACCCAAUAAACGGCGAAUAUGACGCUGUAGCUGAAGCAGAAGCAAUUCUCGCUGAAGCGACUCCCGUCUUGGUUUAAAUUAAACCAAGCCCUUUUAUAAGUCAUGCCUGUGGAUUUAUAAAAGGACCCUUACAGGCUAGUCCCCUUCAAGUCUAGGGAAGGGCGGCGAAACUUAUAGACUGGCGGGCAUCAAUCCUGUGCAUUGGAGUGAUGUCUGUGAGACUAAAUAAUGUACUAAACAUGUAGAGGCUUAAGGCAGGCUCGGCAAGGACCCGGGUUCGAUUCCCGGCACCUCCA